AGCUUCAAUAGUGUAUAUUAUAGUUGCUGUGGUUAAAAAGCUCGUAGUUGAGCUUUUGCCGAAUGAAACUGGUCCACCUUUUGGGUGAGUACUGGGGUGACUGGAGCAUCUGAGUGGUUGGUGUAGCUGCACUUGAAUGUGUGGUAUGCUGACUCAGACCUUCACUUUGAAGAAAUUAGAGUGUUCUAAGCAGGCUCUUGCCUUGAAUCUAUUAGCAUGGAAUGAUUGGAACAUCACACAGUUGCAUUUUGUUGGUUCCUGGAACUAUGCUAUACGAUGAGUAGAAACACUUGGGGGCAUACAGAUUCAACUGUCAGAGGUGAAAUUCUUGGAUUUGUUGAAGAUGGUCUGCUGUGAAAGCAUUUGCCAAGAAUGUUUUCAUUG
rnacentral:rRNA from 1 species